AUGGAUUCAGAGGAGGAGUCUGCUUCUGAGGAGGCGGAGGUGGAGUCUGAAGAGGAGUCCGACCCUGGCGUUGCAAGUCUGGCUCUAGCCACAGCCUAUGUUGCCAAGUCCAUCUUCAACACUGAAGACAAUGACUUCCACACCAACGCUGAAGCUGAUGACAAAGAUGACCAUGCUCCCACCUACUGCUUCAUGGCACAUGGUGCCAAGGGUAUGACACCUCAUGCUUCAGAAUGGAUUAUGGACAGCGGAUGCACUAAUCAUAUGACUGGUGCUCGAAGUCUUCUCAUGGACUCAACCUUACGUCCAUCAGACAAGAGUCACAUCACAUUUGCUGACACUGGUAAAAGCAAGGUAUUGGGUCUAGGUAGAGUUGCAAUCUCAAAGGAUCAACACAUGGAUAAAGUGAUGCUUGUUGAAUCCCUUGGUUUCAACUUAAUGUCUGUCUCAAUGCUUUGUGACUUGAACAUGAUUGUGCUAUUCGGAAAAUAUCGUUGA
rnacentral:rRNA from 1 species